rnacentral:lncRNA from 1 species
GUGUGUGUGUCUAUAUAUAUAUAUAUAUAUAUAGAGAGAGAGAGAGAGAGAGAGAGAGAGAGAGGAGAGUAAAAAUGAGUGACAAUAAUAUGUUGAUAGAAGUAAACAAAAAAAGGAAAUGUAAAGGUACAUACCACAUAUAAAAAAGGAGCUAAAUUAGUUGAACAAAGGAGAAUUCUUGUGUCUUUAAUUCUCACUAUGUAUAUAUACAAAUGGGUAUGUAUAUAUAUGUGUGUGAUGAUGAUUUCAUCUCUCUCCACCAUUGAAAAGAUAUAAUAAUAUUGAGAUGAUGAUGAUUAAGGAGAGGAUGGCCAAGUCUGGAAGCCAAUAUCAUUGUGUUUUCUUGAAGGGGUUGAAGAAGGAAUUGGAAUAGUUCUCUUGGGGAAGAAGCCAUAGAAAUGGGGUUUUGUUGUUGGGUUGUUGUUGUUAUAAUUCUUGGAGAAAUAAGAAGAAGAAAGAGAAGAAGGUGAUGAUGCUGUUGAGGCAUUGCAAUAAUAAAUAAUGAAGAAGAGAAAUAGAAGAAGAAGAAGAAGAGAUAUCAUAAUGAGAUGUGAAGGCCUUUUUCGAAACUCAACCAUUUUUGUUUUGUUGAUAGGUGAGAGCUGAGUUAUUUGAGGAGAGAAGCUUUGUUGGUUUGUUUCUUUUGUUUUUGUGGUUUAGGAGGUUUGGAGGAAGAGAGAGUUUUGAAGCAAAACCUAAACUAAUAUACAAAAGAGAGAGAGAGAGAAGAGUUGACAAUAUGUGUUUGGGUUAAAGGGAAGGGAGGCUAAUAAUUAAAGGGAUUUUUCACUCGGGAAAACGAACAAAAUG